GUGCUCGCUUCAGCGGCACAUAUACUAAAAUUGGAACAAUACAGAGAGGAUUAGCAUGGUCCCUGCGCAAUUUUUCUCAGUAUUCAAAAAAGAUAAACACAUGCAAUUU